CUCAGACAGGUAAGAGUACCCGCUGAACUUAAGCAUAUCAAUAAGCGGAGGAAAAGAAAAUAACAAUGAUUCCCUUAGUAACGGCGAGUGAAGGGGGAAAAGCUCAAAUUUUAAAUCGGCGCAGGUUCUACCUGGUCGAGUUGUAAUUUGAAGAAGCGUUUUCCGCGUCCAGGUUGGCCCAAAUUCUUUGGGAUAAGGUAUCAUGGAGGGUGAGAAUCCCGUCCGGUUGACCUUCAGGACGUUUUACGAUACGCUCUCAAAGAGUCGAGUUGUUUGGGAUUGCAGCUCAAAAUGGGAGGUAAAUUUCUCCUAAGGCUAAAUACAGGCGAGAGACCGAUAGCGAACAAGUACCGUGAGGGAAAGAUGAAAAGAAUUUUGAAAAGAAAGUUAAACAGUACGUGAAAUUGUUGAAAGGGAAACGAUUGAAGCCAGUCGUACCGACGGGAAAUCAACUUCUCGAGUGCUUACCGUGGGUGACGUUGAGCUUCACGGCCUUCGUUGCUUGUGUUGUUGGUGCUUUUGUGGUGUACUUUUCCGUAUGGUAGGUCAGCAUCGAUUUUGAUCGUCAUAAAAUGAUCGGGGGAAUGUAGCUUCGGUCUCGUAUCGGAGUGUUAUAGACCUUGGUAGAUGUGACGAUUGGGAUCGAGGAUUGCAACGAAUACCUUUUUGGGCUAUCCGUCUGUCCUCUGAAAGUCGCUCGGGGGUUGAAAGCGUGCUUAUGGCCAUUCGAGUUGGCGGUCAAUAGGUUAGAACGUGAUUAUAUUCGUUAAGGAUGCUGACGUAAUGGCUUUAAGCGACCCGUCUAGAAACACGGACCAAGGAGUCUAACAUGUAUGCGAGUGUUAGUAUUGGGGA
rnacentral:rRNA from 1 species